CCUACGGGUGGCAGCAGUGGGGAAUAUUGGACAAUGGGGGCAACCCUGAUCCAGCCAUGCCGCGUGUGUGAAGAAGGCCCUCGGGUUGUAAAGCACUUUCAGUGAGGAAGAACGCCUGGUGGUUAAUACCCAUCAGGAAAGACAUCACUCACAGAAGAAGCACCGGCUAACUCCGUGCCAGCAGUCGCGGUAAUACGGAGGGUGCGAGCGUUAAUCGGAAUUACUGGGCGUAAAGCGCGCGUAGGUGGCUUGAUAAGCCGGUUGUGAAAGCCCCGGGCUCAACCUGGGAACGGCAUCCGGAACUGUCAAGCUAGAGUGCAGGAGAGGAAGGUAGAAUUCCCGGUGUAGCGGUGAAAUGCGUAGAGAUCGGGAGGAAUACCAGUGGCGAAGGCGGCCUUCUGGACUGACACUGACACUGAGGUGCGAAAGCGUGGGUAGCAAACAGGAUUAGAUACCCGGGUAGUC
rnacentral:rRNA from 1 species